rnacentral:lncRNA from 1 species
AAGCAAUGAAAUAUAGAUCACGUGAAUGUUGAUAUAAAAUGGGAAAUGGAGACGAGUGAUAUUAAUUUGUAGAUAAAGUUAAUAUUACGUAGUCGCAUAAAGCGGCAUAGUACACAACCCACAACUCUGGAAUUUUAACAUCCAUAUUUAUUCUGUAGCUAUCGUUAUUUUGGCUUCCACUAGCUGGUGAACUUUCCAUGCCAAAACUUCACUUGACGCUGCAAAUGAAACAACAAAAAACACAACAUUAAAUGUUGAGCAAGUAAUAAGCAUAAGCAAUGAAACAACUCAUACGAACCUGUUGCAGUCAGUGCUAGGGCUGAUCUUGUAAGGGAUGUUGACACCGCACUUGCCUGGGAGUCCGCUUGCAAUACCAUAGUUGAUGCCAGAAAUGCCGGCGGCCGCACUUUUGAUGCAUUUGCAAGCUGCUUGCCGGUCUGGUGUUGUUUGGGCGGCGGAGUUGAGAGAUUUUAUGCCGCCGCAGCAACCUGGGGGAACGCCACCAGCACCAUUCCCUGUCAAGUAACCAAUGCAGGGUGCGAGGGAGCUUGUGACUUGACCACAGGUUACGGCCCCUUGAGCCAGGGGUGCACCCACCACCAUGCACAACACCGCCACACAUGCAAGCUUAAGGGACAUUGAGCUAGCCAUAUCGAUUAAUCACAAGAAAAACAAACUUGUAAGGAAAAUGCUUGCUUGGAGUAGUAGUACUAUUGCUGAUUGUCGUGGUUAGGGCUUGAGGGUAGGAGGGUUUUUAUAGCCAAAAGUAGUAGCGGGUGAUGUCUGAAUUUUACUUUCCUAGCUAUUAGGUAAGUUGAGAUUAUCCGAUCCAAACAUUAACACACCACAUUAAAAGUUGAGACCAUUCAAUUAGGUUCAACUGCCAACCUACGUGAUUAUUGUUUUCUUUCAAUACAAUUAAAACCAGCGUCCAUUUGAUUUCACUCAAUCAUGCCUCCACAGCUAGGACUCAAAUAUUGGUUUAACUUUUUUCUAGGUGUUUUCUUAUAAACAUGAGAUUUACAUUUGAUGUAUUUAUAACUGCAUUUAUUGUCAGAAUGAUACCAUUUUAUUAAAAGUAAUUUGAUUUAUAAUUGUUUGUAUAUAUACUUUUAUAUAUUAAGUCUUUAAUUGAAUUGGUAUUACGAUUCACCCAAGCAUCUAUUUAAUUGAAAAUUUGUUAAAAUAUUCAUAUAACAAAUAUUAAUAUAAAUGUAUUUUUAUUUUUAUUAUAAAUAAAACUAUAAUAAGAUUUAAACUUAUGACUCAUAAAUUUUACUCUUUUUAACUUAACUAUUUCAACUAAAAUUUUAUUUAGUUUUAAUAUAAAUUUUUAUAAAUAUAUUAUUUACAUGAAUUUUCCUUUUCCAGGCGGUAUGCCAUGGAACUAAUAUAAAAUAUAAACAAAUGGUUAUUUUGUUAUUUUCAAUGGAAAAAAAAAACUUCACAAGAUUAGGACACAUGCAUGGUUUUUUUAAUAUAUAUAUAUAUAUCAUGCAACAUUCUAAAUCUAUUUAUAGAUUAUUUUGUUGAUUGAAUUUUUAUUUUUUUUUAUUUUGGUAAUUAUAUAAAACUAAAUAUUUUCUUCGCGCAAUGUUAAGAGCAGUUUGAAAUUUAAAAGAAGUGUGGAUUCUAAUAAUAAAUUUAGUUAUCUAAUGUUUACAUAUUUUAUUAAUUUGGCCUUAAAUAUAAAAAUUAAAUUCAACAAAAUUAGCCCUCAAUGUUUACAAAAUUUUUCAUUUUAGUUCAAAUUCUAAAAUAAUCCAAUAAAUUUAGCUCUCAACAUUUAUAAAAUGAAAGGAUUUGAUUUUUAAAAUUUUAAUUUUUUUUUUAAAAACCCAAAACACAAACCUAAAUAAACUGAAAAAGAAGAAGGAAUAAUUAUCAUCACCACGACCUAAUCUCUCAACUUUAAAAUAAGACUUCAACUUCGGUUUAACCCCAAGACAAGGCGAAACAUUGAAAGUAAGUGCAGCGGAUGCCAUUGAUUCUCCUACCUUUUGGCUAAACACAUAAAUUUGAACAACUUCAUACAUAACUAGCAGCAGUACUAAAAAAUCAUUAAUACUAUAUUUUCAAGUACAAGAAAUUGAAAAAAGAAUCACGGGUAGAGUACAAAAAUGAAAUUUGGUGUGAACCUAGAUUAACAAAACAAGGUUCACGGUUUCUCAAAAACACAAUACUAUAUUUUUAGAAUUUCUUGUGAAGAUCAAGCAAUGAGACAAAUACUGAAAUUGUGCCUUAAUAGCAAAUAAUAAUUCAAACCAAUGUAGAAAAAAGAUGAAGAAGAAGAAGAUAGGAAAAGAAUUUUUAGUUUACAUUAAAAGCCUUGAAAAGGUAGACCGAUAGGAUUGAUUGUUUUGAAUAUUACUCAACUUUCUCAUUAAUUCUUGUACUAUUAUGGCUAAGUGUGUUUUUAGAUGGUAAUGAAUUUUUUUAAUUGUUAAUAAUUUUUACAAUUAUUACACUUGAUUUGGCAGUUGUUUUUCUUUUUAAUUUACAAAAUUUUAAAAAAUUAAAAAUUUCUAUUUUGUAAAUGCUAAGAGCUAAAUUUAUUAUUAUUUAUUUUAGAAUCUAAACUAAAGUGACAAAUUUUGUAAAUAUUUGGUGUUAAAUUUAUUGGAUUUUUAUAUUUAAAAUCAAAUUGAUAGAAUGUGUAAAGAAAGUUAAUUUUUUUAUUAGACAAAUAAAAAAUAACCCAUUUCAACACUUCCGAAAAAUUUUCAAACGGCCGUUAACAUUUAGUGACGAAAAUAUUUGAUUUCAUAUAAUUUAAUAAUUAAAAUAAAAAUAAUUAAAAAUUUAGUAAUCAAAGUAAAACACAAGUGAUAUUAUUCUAGUGAUCAUUUCUGUACUUGACCCUAAUUUUUUUUUCAAAACACUGUUAAAAAACGAUUAAUUUCUCGUUUUGGCCGGAGUUAAAAUUUUUAAUAUAUUUGUUUUUAUUAAAUUUAAAAAUUAUAAUUUUACAUAAUAUAUUUUUGAUAGAAUACAUAUGAUAUAAUUUUAAUCAGUGACACCUGUUAAAGCUUGUUAGAUCUCCUGUAUCUCUUUCAAUCUGGUGGUAAAUGAAGCAAUCAAUGAGUAUUACAACCAGCCACAUGUCAUUCAAUUCACAUUAUAUCAAUCUUUUCCCUUUUCUCUCAUUUUGGUAGUUAAUUCCUUUUUUUGUCAUCGAAAUUAUAUUUUUUUCUCAAAUUGAUAAUUUCCUUAAUCCGUUAAGUUUGUUAAAAGAAACCUUAAUCUUAUUUAAAUUAUAUCUUUUUUUAUUUAUUUUGAUACUUAAACAUUUUUGUCACAUGUGGUAUGUAAUUUAUUUUUUCUUAAGUUGUUAGUUUAAUUAUUACUCAAAUAGUUAAGUCUAUUUAAAAAAAGAUAACUAUUUAAAAAUUACCAUAUUCGAACUAGCUAGGCCAUUAGUUCCUGGUUUAAUCAGUUUAUCUAGUUUGAUGAAAUCAAUUAUUAAAAAUUCAUAAAAAUAAAAAUGUUAAAAAAUAGAGAAAACUAGCUCAACUAGUUUUUUUUUUAAGCUCGACUCAAUCAAUCUGUAUUAGUUUGUAGGUUAAUCGGUUCAAGCCCUAUCUCCAAACUAGUAUCCCAGUUGGUUCCUAGUAUUAAGGGUGAGCAAAAUUUGAAUCGACUCGAAAAAAUUUAAAAAAGUUCGAAUUUUGAAUUAUUCGAAUCGAGUUAAUCGAAUCAACUCGAUUUUUUUUUAAUUUCAAGUUCGAGUCGAGUUGAGUUUUUGAAUUCAAAUAACUCGAAUAAUUCGAUUAAGCCGAAUACCAAACUAUAAUAUUUUACAUUUUACCUCAAACCCCAAACCCUUUUACUUUUCCCCCAAAACUUUACUCAUUCCUCCUUGUCUGCCCCUGUAACGCCCCAAAUUUUGAAUUGUUACUGUUAGUUUCUAUUUAUAAGUAAGUAUUUGCUUCAGUGGUUAAGUGUUAUGUGUUGGUGUUUGGAUCGGGGGUUCAAGUUAUACUUUUAGAGAAUUUUAUUAUUCUUUUGUUUCAACUCUUAUCCUUGAAUGUUUGAAUUAAGUUUGUAUCUGCAUUAAUUUGUGUCAAGAACGAGUCUUCUAGUUUAAUGGUUAAGUUUUGUAUUACCUAUGGUCUCGUGUUCGAGUCUCUGCGUAGGCAAUAAAGAAAUAUUUUGGCGUGCUAUCGGGAAAUCAGUUUUAUUUUAAUAAUUAUUUUUAUUUAAAACUUAUUUUUAGUUUUUUUUAUUUUGGUUCUUCUCCUUCCUUACUGUUCAUUUCCUUCUUCUUUUUUCUCCUUUUGUAACACCCCUAACUCGAAUCCGUCGCUGGAACAGGGUUAGGAGUAUUAUCGAAGUUUACAAUUUAAACAGGCAGAAAAAUUAAACAUUUCAUAACAUAUAGCAUUCAUGUUAGAAACCAAUCAUAAUUAUGCAUAUUGUCCCUAAUACGAGCCCUCGAGGCCCAAAAUACACCUUAGAAAUAAUUCGGGACUAAAUUGAAAAUUCGGAGCAUUUUUUAGAAACUUAUAAAAUUUUUAAAACUACAGGGGUCACAUGGCCGUGUGGCUAGGCUGUGUGACUCAUAUGGCCAACAGACACGCCCAUGUCUUAGACCGUGCGGGUAUUCGAAAUAGGGACACACGGUCGUGUCCCAGCCUGUGUCCAUGCCCGUGUAACUCACUAACUUGGGCCACACGGUCAAGCCAUACGCCCGUGUGCCAGGCAUUGUGAGCAUACUAACUUGCAUUCUUUAAAAGAUACAGGGGACACACGGCCAUGUCACCUGACCGUGUGUGACACACGCCCGUGUCUCUGCCCGUGUGGACAAAAAUAGGCUAUUUUUCAAGUCAUAAAUAUUCAUGUAUUCUUUAAAAGAUACAGGGGACACACGCCCGUGUCUCUGCCCGUGUCUCUGCCCAAUUUGGUACCAACCUAAACACAACAAUUUGCAUAUAACCAAGUCAUAAAUAGGCACCCAAAACCAGCCAAAAUCAAGCUUAAAACAUGUAAUAUCAUCACAUACAACCAAUAUGCCCUUAGGCACCUCAAAUGACAACUUAUAAUAUUAAUAUUCAUGUAUUCAAUAUAGCCAAAUGUAUAACUCACUUAUAUGCAUAUUUUCAUCCAAAGUUUAUUAAGCAAAUUUACAUCAUUUCUUACCAAAUUACUUACCUUCCAAAACAUAUUAUUUGGUGCUAAAAUGUAUUUAACAUACUAACAUAUUUAACUUAUAUGCCUUACAUAUCCAGACACCAAUUCAUGAUCAAUUCUUCACAUUUCAAAACACAUAUAUGAAAUGCACAUUAGGUUACCUUUUUACCACUAUUUAUUCAAUCAUGAACCAAACUACAUGUCAACCAUAAUAAGCAAAAUAUGCACAUAUCCAAAAUUCCAUAACACAAACAAAACAAAUGGCUAAUCUCAACAAAACACAUAUAAGCCAACAUUGGCCAAACUAAUCUAUACAUGCCAUUAUAACCGAAAUUAAACAACCGAAUGUACCAAAAGAGCCAAUGGAUAGUGUGAUAUAGCUCCGACAAGCUUCCAACCAGAACGAGCUUUCGAAUCACUAAAAACACAGAAAAUAACACAGAGUAAGCAUUCAAGCUUAGUAAGUUCAUAUAGCAUAUAAUUUAACUUACCAUUUAGUCACAUUUAAGGUAAGCAUACAAAACAUAUCCAAACUCAAUUAGGAUAAAAGCCUCAACACAUAUCCUCAUCAACCAUGUUAGUCAUGUAAUUCAUAUAAAUAUCAAGAAACAUGUAUGAGCUCAACAAUAAUCAAACUUCUAUGUACAUAUAAUUUCCACAUCAUGUAUUUACAUAUCAUGUACAAAUCAUUUUCAUAUAUCUCAUGUAAAUACAUGUAGUAGUUUGUAUUGAACUCGUGUAAUAUCAUAACAGAACAGUGCCCGUUGAACCAUUUAGAUUAUUUUUGGAUACGCGGAUAGUACACAUGAGGUGUACUGAACUGUAAUUCAUCAAUUCAUGUACAUGUAUGCUCAUAUGAGCUAUAAACAGUAAGCUCCUCUGAAAUGAAUAACAAUAAGCUUGUACAAGCUGAAUAUCGGUAAGCUCAUAUGAGCUGAGUAUCGGUAAGCUCAUAAGAGCUGAAAUCGAUAACCCUAAUGACAUGUUUACCAAGCCAUGACAUUCCACUAACACAUUUAACCUUUAAAAUUAUUUCAAUUUACAAGUUUAAGAAAGAACAUAAAAGAUGAUACUUGGCUUUAUUUUACUAAAUUUUGUUAUUUACUUAAUUACUUAUUUAACCUUUAAAAUCAUUUCAAUUUACAAGUUUACUAAGCCAUGACAUUCCACUAACACAUUUAAGGGUUAUUUACCAUAUAAGGACCUCUACUUUAAAUUUUUAUAGCUAUUUAAUACCUUUAGCUAUUAGAACUUUACUUUUACACUUUACGCGAUUUAGUCAUUUUUAUCAAAUUGAACAUGUAAACGGUAAAAUUUCUUAACGAAAUUUUCAUAUGGUAAUAUUAUCAUGUUUUCGACCAUAAAAUAAUAAUAAAAUAAAAUUUUUUACUUCAUAUUUGUGGUCCCAAAACUACUAUUCUGAUUUCACUGAAAAUGGGUUGUUACACCUUUCUUGCUUGAUUGCUUCCGUAAGUUUGCUAUCGUGCUUAAUUGGGCAUUCUGUGUGGUUUCUUACAUUGAUUGCAAGGAUAUUGCGUAAGUUAUGUUCUUGUUUUUUACCUAUUUUUUCUAGACUUCGUCUGUUUCGUCGAGGUUAGAUAUUACUGUUAAUGGUUGUAAAAUCUCGUUAAUAGUUCCAAUGGAUCUUCUUUUAGGAAAAGGUUUCAAAAGUAACAUUUCCCUGUGAGAUUAGGUCCGAAUUGUUGUUGCUUGCUUGUCAGUAAUUGAAAAUUUCUAUUUUGGAUAGCUGCGUCGAAGUUUUCGACGAACGUUAGUUUUGAGUGCUAAUUUUGGCAUUUUGAGUUGAUUUAGUCAUUUAAUUGGUCAAUUAAUUGUCGUUUUAGGUUUCAGAUUCUUGUGUGUUGCUUCUACAUCGAAACUACAUCAAGUGUGUAACGAAAACUCAUUUUUCUAUGAUUUACGAAUGCUAGAAAACAUGGCUGUUAAUCACACGACCGUGUGUUAGGCCAUGUAACUUACUGUUUAUGUAUUAAAGUCACCGAGCCAAGGACGUGGGCAUGUGUCCUAGUCGUGUAACUUACUAUUUGUGGAUUGGAGUCACACAGGCUAGGGACACGUUUGUGUGUCCAGACUGUGUGAAGGAAAUUUUAUGAAUUGAGUCACACAAGCGUGUGCUUGACUAUGUCAUAGACCGUGUAACUCACUUUUUUGAGCCACACGAUCGUGUGCCAGGCCGUGUGAUAGAUCGUGUGCUACACGGGCCAGCCUUCCGGGACAUGUGAAUCCACACAAGUGUGUGGGUCAAAAUUUCAAAUUUUUUAUUAGGGCCGUAAACAUCAUUCCAGUCAAACGUAGGCCUACUGUAGGGUCUGGAUGAUCUGAUUUGGGUUAUAAAACCCAUUGACUAGUUAUCUGUUUCUGUAUAAACUGUUAUUUUAUAUACAUCAUAGAAUUGUAAACUAGAGAGUAGUUGUAUUCUGUAUUAAUUGAGUAUAACCUGAAAUUUGUAACAUCGUAUGCUUAUAUCUGUAUCUGUAACAUUGCAUCUGCAUUGGGGUUGGGAUUGAAUAAGGAGGAAGUUAUGGCAGUUAAAUAAUCUGCUAAGACCGGUGGCUAAGACACGUAAAUGUAUCUAAUUUUGGUGACUUUCGCAUUCUGUCCUAGCAAUUAGUCUGCAACCUUUUGAACGUGACAUAUGGUCACUAUGUGGUGUGUAGGGACGAUACCCUUUUUGGUGUGUAGGGUUGGAUGAAGAUGGUGUGUAAUUGACAUAUUCUACUCUAUUUCCGUAUAUAAUUCUGAGAACUGUUCGAACUUUAAGAAAUUGAAGAUCUAUUUUGUUGUUUCACUUAAUAAUAAUAUAAGUUAUACGCUAUGUAUAACACCCUUUACCCGAGACCGUGGUCGGAGUCGAGCAUGAGGUGUUACUUGACUUAAAUUAAAAGUUCAGGGCAUAAAAAUUUACUUUCAAAAUUAAUUUCACCAUUCACAAUAAAGUUGUCCACCUGAGCAGCAGUCACUAAAUUAAUUAUAACUCAAGCUAAGAAACUCGAAAUUUAGAUUCGUAAAUUUUCCCUGAAACUAGACUCAUAUAUCUAUUCACAAAAUUUUUUUAGAAUUUUUGAUUUGACCAAUUAGUACAGUUUAUUAGUUGAAGUCUCCCCAGUUUCACUAAUCGACUAUCCUGACCUCUCGUCACUAAAAUUCAAUUAUCUCAUUAUACACACUUGGCAUGCUGAUUCCACUUAUUUAUACUUAAAAUAUACUCAUUAAGGAAUUUAAAAAUAUAAUUUAUAACUCAUAAUUCUAUUUGUACAAUUUUUAAUGAAUUUCUAAAGUCAGAACAGGGGACUUCAGAAUCAUUCUGACUCUGUCUCACUAAAAUUAAAAUAUCUAAAAGUAUAUAACUCUUUUACUUACUCUAUUGCUUUCAUGUGAAAGUAGACUCAUUCAGAUUUAAUUUCAUCUCUCGCUAAACUUAUAAUUCUAUUUCUACAAUUUUUGGUGAUUUUUCAAAGUUACAUCAAUGCUGCUGCCCAAAAAUAGUUCCAUUGAAAUUUUUUUAAAAAAAUUCAAUAUAACCCCUUUAUAAUUAUCUAACCUUCCCUGCAAAUUUCAAAUCACAACCAAUUUCAGUAUUUCAACUACUUCACUUAAAUACUAAUGAAGUUCAACUAAUCAACCAUUUCAAACUAAAAACAUGUAUAGUUCAAUGUUUAACACAACCAUCACAUUCAAAUUUAUUCAUUCUAUUACUUUUUACUUCAAUUCCCUAUACAUGUCAUAUAAAUCCAAAAAGUUGUUUAACAAAAUCUACAGGAGUAAAUCUGGAUAGUGUGAUUCUUGGUGUAGAUCUGAUCCUCCGAAUGUAUAAAUACGUCAACCUACAAGAAUCAAUAAACACACAAUUAAGCGUAUAGAAAGCUUAGUAAGUUCAUAGGCACCAAACAUAAAUCUUACCAAACAUUUAUACACUUAUACAUUAUACACCAUUACUAAGUUUACCUGUCAACCACAAUCUUUGGUGAGCUCCUUAGUAUAAACUCACUACUACUUAUUCUUUUACCAUAAUUCCUUUGGGCCCAUUUGUCACUUACCAUCCUUGAUCAAAAUUAAGGAACGGUUACGGAAAAUUGAGUACUUCACUUUCACUUUGCCAUAGUAUAACUAUGGUCUUACGUAUGAUCAAGCAUCACUUGUCCUUGAUAAGAUAAGUGUAGCUAGGCAACCACUUAUCACUUUGUCACUUGAUCAGAUAAGUGUAGCUAAAGCUACCACUUAUCAUUUUAUCACCACUUAUCACUUGUUCUUGAUUAGAUAAGUGUAGCUAAAGUUACCACUUAUCACUUUGUCACCACUUAUCACUUGUUCCUAAUCAGAUAAGUGUAGCUAAAACUACCACUUAUCACUUUGUCACUUGAUCAGAUAAGUGUAGCUAAGCUAUCACUUAUCACUUUGUCACUUGAUCAGAAGUACUCAAAUCCGGUGUUCUACUCAAUUUGAUCAUUUAUUCAGUUUUCACAUUUUUAUUUUAUUCUCAUUUCAUCAAUAAAUAUAUAUAUUUCAUCAUACAUUAUAUAAUUCAUGAAAUUAACAUUUAAUCAUUAAAUUUUAGCCAUAUGAACUUACCUGGGUUGAUUUGCUGAAUUUGUAAAAGUUUAGGGACUAAUCAGCUACUUUUUCUUUUCCUCGACUUGUUUCGGGUUCUCAAUAUGAUUCAAAUAUAUGAAAAACCAACUUGGAGGGACUCUUCAAUGGUGUUUUUUGCUAAAAAAUAUGAGGAAUUGCCUAGAAACACUUUUAGUUAAGAUUUUUAUUUGUUAAUUUUUACAAAAUUUCCAAUUUUGCCCUUAUUACAUCACUUUUUCAAAUUUUUCUUCUCUUAUGUCGUCUCAACUAUUCCAUAUUGGCAUAUUUAUGCCUUAAGUCCCUCCUUAUUUACCACUUAAGCUAUUUAAUCACUUUUAACAAAUUUUACAUUAUUUUCAGUUUAAUCCUUUUUAAUUAAUUAACCACCCAAACGUUAGAAUUUUCUAACGAAAAUUUAAUACCAACUCAAUGACACUCCAUAAAUGUUUCUAAAAAUAUUUAUGGCUCGAUUUAUGAGGUUGAGGUUUCAAUACCUCAUUUUCGAUUCUAAUUAUUUUAAUAUUUAUUCUUAGUACACUAUUCACUAUUUCAAAAAUUUUCCUAACUUCGCAUUUAACUUAUACUCACUAAAUUAAUAAUAUUUUCUACUCAUUUGUCAAAUUUAAUGAUCUCGAAUUACCAUUCCGACACCACUGAAAAUUCAGGCCAUUACAACUCUCCCCCCAUUUUGGAAAUUUCAUCCCCGAAAUUUCGUACCUGAAAAUAAAUUCGGAUACUGAAAUCUCAGCAAUUCCUCUGUUUCCCAGGUUGCCUCCUCUUUAACCUUAACUAGUGGUACAUGUUUAUUCCUCAACUCUUUAACCUUCUGAGCUAAAAUUUUCACCGGUUCCUCUGAAUAAGUCAUGUCAGGUUGAAGCUCUAUUUCCGUAUGAGGAAUUACAUGUGAUGGAUCUGAUCUGUACCGUCUCAACAUAGACACAUGAAACACAUUAUGAAUCUUUUCAAGUUCCGGGGGCAAAGCUAAUCUAUAGGUUACCGGACCGAUUCUUUCAAUGAUUUCAUACGGCCCAAUAAAUCGUGGGCUGAGUUUCCCCUUUUUGCUGAACCGCAAAACUUUCUUCCACGUGACACUUUCAAAAAUACACGAUCACCCACAUUAAACUCUAUAUCCCUUCUCUUCAAAUUUGCAUAUGAUUUUUGCCGAUCGGAGGUAGCUUUUAAACAAUCUCGAAUAAUACGAACUUUUUCUUCAGUUUCCUGAGUCAAUUCCACUCCCACCAGUUUCGAUUCACUUAAUUCAGACCAAUAUAAUGGAGUUCUACACUUUCUUCCAUACAAAGCUUCAAACGGUGCCAUUUUAAUGCUAGUUUGAUAACUAUUAUUAUAAGCAAAUUCGGCUAAAGGUAAAUACCUUUCCCAGCUACCGCCGAACUCAAGUAUACAACACCUUAACAUAUCUUCUAAAAUCUGAAUCACUCGCUCUGACUGCCCAUCUGUCUAGGGAUGAAAAGCUGUGUUGAAAUUUAAUUUGGUGCCUAAAGCUUCCUGUAAUUUACUCUAAAAUCUCGAGGUAAAUCUCGGAUCUCGAUAUGAAAUAAUAGAUGUCGGUACCCCAUGUAACCUCACUAUCUCAGACACAUAUAACUCCGCUAACUUUUCAAGCUGAUAAUCUGCUCUGACUGGAAUAAAAUGUGCUGACUUAGUUAACCGAUCAACAAUCACCCAUAUUGAAUGUUUCUUCUUCAGAGUUAUUAGUAAUCCAGAUACAAAAUCCAUUGUAACAUGUUCCCAUUUCCAAUCUGGAAUCAUAAUGGGCUGUAACAACCCUGUCGGCACUUGAUGCUCAGCUUUCACCUGUUGACAGAUCAAACAUCUUGCUACAUACUCAAAGAUUUCCCGUUUCAUUCCGGGCCACCAAUACAUUUUCUUCAAAUCACAAUACAUUUUUGUACUACCCGGGUAAAUAGAACACAUACUACUGUGAGCCUCUGAUAAAAUAUCAUUUUUCAAGUUUAAAUUAUUCGGAAUACAUAUUCUAUUACGAUAAUAUAACAUACCAUUUUCAUCAAUGGAGUAUUCUGAGCUUAACUUAUCUUGAACCAUCUGUCGUUUUAUCAUCAAUUUUGGGUCAUCAUCCUAUAACUCCCGAAUCCGUUGAAAAAACACGGGUUUAGCCUUUAAUUCUGCUAGUACAGAACCAUCCUCAUUAAUAGAUAAAUGAGCAUUCAAUGCCCGUAGUGCAAAUAAUGAUGAUUUCCGACUAAGCGCAUCUGCUGCGGUAUUUGCUUUCCCUCGGUGAUAGUCAAUGACAAGAUCAUAAUCUUUCAGCAACCCCAACCAUCGUCUCUGUGUCAAAUUUAACUCUUUCUGAGUCAUUAAAUACUUCAAGCUUUUAUGAUCAGUAUACACGUAACAUUUCUCACCAUAUAAGUACUCUUCAUAUCUUCAAAGCAAACACGAUCGCUGCCAAUUCCAAAUCAUGUGUAGGAUAAUUCUUCUCGUGCGGUUUCAGUUGCCGAGAAGCAUAUGCCACCACUUUGCCUGACUGAAUAAGUACACAGCCCAACCCAUUUACAGACGCAUCACUAUAUACUACAAACGGUACACCCGAUUCUGGUUGAGUCAACACUGGAGCCUCUGUCAACAUCUUUUUCAACUAAUCGAAACUCCGCUGACAUUCAUCUAACCAUAUAAAUUCAACAUUCUUUUGUAGCAAUCGAGUCAACGGUAAGGUAAUCAUUGAGAAAUCUUUGACAAAUCGACGAUAAUAACCUGCCAAUCGUAGAAAACUCUGCACUUCAGUCACAUUCUUCGGAACUUUCCAAUUUAUCACUGCUGCUACCUUACUUGGAUCCACUCUUAUUCCAUCAGCUGAUACAAUAUGACCCAAAAACGCAACUUCAUGGAGCCAAAAUUCACAUUUGCUAAAUUUGGCAUACAAUUGUUUCUCCCACAAAGUCUGUAAUACAAUCCUUAGAUGUUGUGCAUGUUCGGACUCUGUCUUUGAAUAAAUCAAUAUAUCGUCAAUGAACACAACCACAAAUCUAUCCAAAUAUGACUGAAAAAUUCUAUUCAUCAAAUCCAUAAAAGCAGCAGGGGCAUUGGUUAAACCAAAUGGCAUCACCAAAAAUUCAAAAUGACCAUAUUGAGUUCGAAAGGCAGUUUUCGGCACUUCACACUCUUUAACUUUCAACUGAUAAUACUCGGAUCGAAGAUCUAUCAUGGAAAAUACUGCAGCACCUUUCAACUGAUCAAACAAAUCAUCAAUAUGAGGCAAAGGAUUUUUAUUCUUUACUGUUACCUUAUUCAACUGUCUGUAAUCUAUACACAGUCUUAAAAAACCAUCCUUCAUUUUCACAAACAAGACAGGUGCACCCCAGGGCGACAUACUCGGUCUGAUGAACCCUUUAUCUAAUAACUCCUGCAGCUGCGCCUUCCGUUCUUUUAACUCGACUGGAGCCAUUCUGUACGGUGUCAUUGAGAUAGGAGUUGUUCCGGGGAUCACAUCAAUUACAAAUUCAACUUCUCUAUCAGGUGGUAGACCGGGUAACUCUUCAGGGAAUUCAUUCACCAUUGGCACUUGUUCGAGCUUCAAAUCAGAACCCUGAGUAUCCAGGAUAUAGGCCAAGAAUGCUUCGUUGCCUUUGCGUAAUAACCUCUGAGCAGAGAGAGCUAAAAUAAUUCUGACUGUAUCACCCAGCUUUUCAGACCCAACUGAGAUUAUAUCUCCCGUUUGACAUUUCAAACUGAUCUGUUUAUCACGACAAUUCACUACCACAUCAUGUCUCAUUAACCAGUCCAUCCCCAGAAUAAUGUCAAAUUCCCGAAAAGGUAACAACAUCAAAUCAGCGAGGAAUUCAUAGCCUUUCACUUUCAGUGGACAAUUACGACAUAUCAAAUUAACCAUCACACUUUGACCUAAUGGGUUUGUGACUUGUAUAUCAAAUUCAGUGGACUCAACAGAUAAUUUCUUUUUAGAUGCUAACAUAGUGCAAAUAUAUGAAUGAGUAGAUCCAGGGUCUAUCAAUGCAUAAACAAUAACAUCAUAAAGAUAGAAAGUACCAGCAAUUACAUCAGGAGCCGUAGCCUCUUUCCUUGCUCGAAUGGCGUAGGUACGUGCUGGUGCUCUAUUCUCUGAUCGACCAACUGAUUCCCUCGUACCCGAACGGGUAGUCCCUGUAGCACUGCUCUGGCCCGAACGUCUACUUUUUUGGGGAAUGGUUCUCUGUAUUUCUUUCUGUUCCACUUCAUCUUUUUAUAGUCGGGGACAAUCUCGAAUAAGAUGAUUAGUACCCCCACAUUUUUAACAAGCCCCCAUCUUGGUCCUGCAUUCUCUGAAAUGAUAUCUUCCACAAUAUUGACACUUAGGCCGGGGAACAUUCUGAACACUGCUCACACUUGCUGGAGGUCUAUCGAAUACCCUGAAAUCAGAUUGUCUUGGUCUAUCUCUACCCGAUCUUCUCGACAUUGAUGUAGUUCGACUAAUUUCUUCUCUAGAUUUGUUCACUGGUAAAUCUAAAAAUGACUUAGAAGCACCUCUUUUGAAUGGCUCUUUACUUUUUCGAUCCCGCUACAUUUUUCUGUUGUAUACUUCUUCGAGCUUUUGAGCACGGUUUGACAGAACAGGGAACUCUCGUAUUUCAUUACCCCCAAUCAUCAUUCUAAUUUCAUCAUUUAACCCUUCUUCAAACCUGAUACACAUUUCUUCUUUAAUAAGUACAAUGUCUCGGGCAUAUUUGCUGAGGUAGACAAAUUCUCUUUCGUAUUCAGCCACUGAUUUAUCUCCCUGGCGUAGGUCGAGAAAUUCCCUUUUAUUUUUAUCCAAAUACCGUCUGCCCACAUAUUUCUUCUUAAAUUCAUUUUGGAAAAAUUCCCAAUAAAUUUUCUCUGUCGGAACCACAUCCUCAAUCGUCUCCCACCAACUAUAAGCUUCUUCUUUCAAUAGAGACACAACACAUCUCAAAUAAUCAUCUGGUGAGCAAGCCAUUUCUUUAAAAAUUCUUAUUAAACUCUGUAACCAAUAUUCAGCUUUGACGGGAUCUUUAUCAGUCCUUCCCCGAAAUUCUUCGGCUCUAAGUUUUUUAAGCCUUUCCAAUGGAGAACGCUUUCUGGAUUCAGUCGUUGUAAAAGGUGGAGGAGCAACCGGGUGUACCACCGAUGGAGCAGUAGGGGGAGGAGGUGGUUCAGCCUGAUUUCUUUCUUGCCUCAUUUCAGUAUAUCAUUGAUUCAUAAUCCCAUAAAUCAUAUUCUUUAACUCUUGCUCUCGCAUUUGGGAGAUCGGAACAUCACUGCUUGUUCUUUGUUUAGAAUUAUGUAUUCUACUAUUAACUUCUUCUUUCUCAGUACGUUUAGGUAUAUCUAACAUCUCCAUAACCGGAGAAUAUCUACUAUUAACUUCUUCUUACUGGAUUCAGUCGUUGUAAGAGGUGGAGAAGCAACCGGGGGUACCACCGAUGGAGCAGUAGGCAGAGGAGGUGGUUCAGCCUGAUUUCUUUCUUGCCUCAUUUCAGUAUACCACUGAUUCAUAAUCCCAUAAAUCAUAUUCUUUAACUCUUGCUCCCGUAUUUGGGAGAUCAGAACACCACUGCUUGUUCUUUGUUCAGAAUUAUGUAUUCUACUAUUAACUUCUUCUUGCUCAGUACGUUCAAGUAUAUCUGACAUCUCUAUAACCGGAGAAUAUCUAUAAAAAUAACAAAGAUUAGAUCGCAUCAUACGCAUUACACUAUCACAGAUUUAUAUGGCAUGUAUUUCUAAACACUUUACACUUCACACAUAUUCCGAGAACCGGCUAAACCUGGAUCUGAUACCAAUAAAAUGUAACACCCUUUACCCGAGACCGUUUCCAGAGUCGAGCAUGAGGCGUUACUUGACUUAACUUAAAAGUUCAGGGCAUAAAAAAUUACUUUCAAAAUUAAUUUCACCAUUCACAAUAAAGUUGUCCACCCACGCAGCAAUCUCUAAAUUAAUUAUAACUCAAGAUGCGAAACUCGAAAUUUAGAUCUGUAUAUUUUACCUAAAACUAGACUCAUAUAUCUAUUCACUACAAAAUUUUCAGACUUUUUGGUUUGGCAAAUUAGUACAGUUUAUUAAUUGAAGUCUCCCCUGUUUCACUAAUAGACUAUCCUGACCUCUCGUCACUAAAAUUCAAUUAUCUCAUUAUACAAACUUGACUUGGUGUUUUCAAUUAUUUUUACUUAAAACAGACUCAUUAAGGAAUUUAAACAUAUAAUUUAUAACUCAUAAUUCAUUUUGUACAAUUUUUAAUGAAUUUCUAAAGUCAAAACAGGGGACUUCAAAAUCAUUCUGACUCUGUCUCACUAAAAUUCAAAUAUCUAAAAGUAUAUAACUCUUUUGCUUACUCUAUUGCUUUAAUGUGAAAGUAGGCUCAUUCAGCUUUAAUUUCAUCUCUCACUCAACUUAUAAUUCUAAGUCCACAUUUUUGGUGAUUUUUCAAUGUUACAUCAAUACUGCUGUCCAAAAACUGUUCCAUUGAAAUUUUUUUAAAAAAUUUCAAUAUAACCCUUUUAUAAUUAUCUAACCUUCCCUGCAAAUUUUAAAUCACAACCAAUUUCAGUAUUUCAACCACUUCACUUAAAUACUAAUGAAGUUCAACCAAUCAACCAUUUCAAACUAAAAACAUGCAUAGUUCAAUGUCUAACACAACCAUCACAUUCAAAUUUACUUUGCAUAUUUAGGUAUUCAUUCUUUUACUUUUUACUUCAAUUCCCUAUACAUGCCAUAUAAAUCCAAAAACUUGUUUAACAAAAUCUACCGGAGUAAAUCUUGAUAGUGUGAUUCUUGGUGUAGAUCCGAUCCUCUGAAUGUAUAAAUACGUCAAUCUACAAGAAUCAAUAAACGCACAAGUAGGCUUAAUAAACACACAAGUAAGCUUAUAGAAAGCUUAGUAAGUUCAUAGGCACCAAACAUAAAACUUACCAAACAUUUAUACACUUAUACAUUAUACACCAUUACUAAGUUUACCUGUCAACCACAUUCUUUGGUGAGUUCCUUGGUAUAAACUCACUAAUACUUAUUCUUUUACCAUAAUUCCUUUGGGCCCAUUUGUCACUUACCAUCCUUGAUCAAAAUUAAGGAACGGUUACGGAAAAUUGAGUACUUCACUUUCACUUUGCCAUAGUAUAACUAUGGUCUUACGUAUGAUCACUUAUCACUUGUCCUUGAUCAGGUUAGUGUAGCUAGGCUACCACUUAUCACUUGUUCCUGAUCAGAUAAGUGUAGCUAAGCUAUCACUUGUCACUUUGUCACUUGAUCAGAAGUACUCAAAUCCGGUGUUCCGCUCAAUUUGAUCAUUUAUUCAGUUUGCGCAUUUUUAUUUUAUUCUCAUUUCAUCAAUAAUAUAUAUAUAUAUAUAUAUAUAUAUAUAUAUAUAUUUCACCAUACAUUAUAUAAUUCAUGAAAUUAACAUUUAAUCAUUAAAUUUCAUCCAUAUGAACUUACCUAGGUCGAUUUUCUGAAUUUGUAAAAGUUCAAGGACUAAUCAGCUACUUUUUCUUUUCCUCGACUUGUUUCGGGUUCUCGAUAUGAUUCAAAUAUAUGAAAAACCAGCUUGGAGGGACUCUUCAAUGGCGUUUUUUGCUGAGAAAUAUGAUGAAUUGCCUAGAAACUCUUUUAGUUAAGAUUUUUAUUUGUUAACUUUUACAAAAUUUCUAAUUUUGCCCUUAUUACAUCACUUUUUCAGAUUUUUCUUCUCUUAUGCUGUCUCAACUAUUCCAUAUUAGCAUAUUUAUGCCUUAAGUCCCUCCUUAUUUACCACUUAAGCUGUUUAAUCACUUUUAACAAAUUUUACAUUAUUUUCAGUUUAGUCCUUUUUAAUUAAUUAACCACCCAAACGUUAGAAUUUUCUAACGAAACUUUAAUACCAAUUCAAUGACACUCUAUAAAUGUUUCUAAAAAUAUUUAUGGCUCGAUUGAUGAGUUUGAGGUUUCGAUACCUCAUUUUCGAUUCUAAUUAUUUUAAUAUUUAUUCUUAGUACACUAUUCACUAUUUCAAAAAUUUUCCUAACUUCGCAUUUAACUUAUACUUACUAAAUUAAUAAUAUUUUCUACUCAUUUGUCAAAUUUAAUGAUCUCGAAUUACCAUUCCGACACCACUGAAAAUUCAGGCCAUUACAACUCUCCCCCCAUUUUGGAAAUUUCGUCCCCGAAAUUUCGUACCUGAAAAUAAAUUCGAAUACUGAAAUCUCAUCAAUUCCUCUGUUUCCCAGGUUGCCUCCUCAGAUCCAUGUCGAUUCCAUAACACCUUAACUAGUGGUACAUGUUUAUUCCCUAACUCUUUAACAUCCCAAGCUAAAAUUUUCACCGGUUCCUCUGAAUAAGUCAUGUCAGGUUGAAGCUCUAUUUCCGUAUGAGGAAUUACAUGUGAUGGAUCUGAUUUGUACCGUCUCAACAUAGACACAUGAAACACAUUAUGAAUCUUUGCAAGUUCCGGGGGCAAAGCUAAUCUAUAUGUUACCGGACCGAUUCUUUCAAUGAUUUCAUACGGCCCGAUAAAUCGUGGGCUGAGUUUUCCUUUUUUGCUGAACCGCAAAACUUUCUUCCACGGUGACACUUUCAAAAAUACACGAUCACCCACAUUAUACUCUCUAUCCCUUCUCUUCAAAUCUGCAUAUGAUUUUUGCUGAUCGGAGGCAGCUUUUAAGCAAUCUCGAAUAAUACGAACUUUUUCUUCAGUUUCCUGAGUCAAUUCCACUUCCACCAGUUUCAAUUCACUUAAUUCAGACUAAUAUAAUGAAGUUCUACACUUUCUUCCAUACAAAGCUUCAAACGGUGCCAUUUUAAUGCUAGUUUGAUAACUAUUAUUAUAAGCAAAUUCGGCUAAAGGUAAAUACCUUUCCCAGCUACCGCCGAACUCAAGUAUACAACACCUUAACAUAUCUUCUAAAAUCUGAAUCACUCGCUCUGACUGCCCAUCUGUCUGGGGAUGAAAAGCUGUGUUGAAAUUUAAUUUGGUGCCUAAAGCUUCCUGUAAUUUACUCUAAAAUCUCGAGGUAAAUCUCGGAUCUCGAUCUGAAAUAGUAGAUGUCGGUACCCCAUGUAACCUCACUAUCUCAGACACAUAUAACUCCGCUAACUUUUCAAGCUGAUAAUCUGCUCUGACUGGAAUAAAAUAUGCUGAUUUAGUUAACCGAUCAACAAUCACCCAUAUCGAAUCUUUCUUCUUCGAAGUUACUGGUAAUCCGGAUACAAAAUCCAUCGCAACAUGUUCCUAUUUCCACUCUGGAAUCAUAAUGGGCUGUAACAACCCUGUCGGCACUUGAUGCUCAGCUUUCACCUGUUGACAGAUCAAACAUCUUGCUACAUACUCACAGAUUUCCCAUUUAAUUCCGGGCCACCAAUACAUUUUCUUCAAAUCACAAUACAUUUUUAUACUAACCCGGUGAAUAGAACACAUACUACUGUGAGCCUCUGAUAAAAUAUCAUUUUUCAAGUUUAAAUUAUUCGGAAUACAUAUUCUAUUACGAUAAUAUAACAUACCAUUUUCAUCAAUGGAGUAUUCUGAGCUUAACUUAUCUUGAACCAUCUGUCGUUUUAUCAUCAAUUUUGGGUCAUCAUCCUGUAACUCCUGAAUCCAUUGAAAGAACACGGGUUUAGCCUUUAAUUCUGCUAGUACAGAACCAUCCUCAUUAAUAGAUAAAUGAGCAUUCAAUGCCCGUAGUGCAAAUAAUGAUGAUUUCCGACUAAGUGCAUCUGCUGCGGCAUUUGCUUUCCCUGGGUGAUAGUCAAUGACAAGAUAAUAAUCUUUCUGCAACUCUAACCAUCGUCUCUAUCUCAAAUUUAACUCUUUCUGAGUCAUUAAAUACUUUAAGCUUUUAUGAUCAGUAUACACGUAACAUUUCUCACCAUAUAAGUAGUGUCUCCUUAUCUUCAAAGCAAACACGAUCGCUGCCAAUUCAAAAUCAUGUGUAGGAUAAUUCUUAUCGUGCGGUUUCAGUUGCCGAGAAGCAUAUGCCACCACUUUGCCUGACUGAAUAAGUACACAGCCCAACCCAUUUACAGAUGCAUCACUAUAUACUACAAAUGGUACACCCAAUUCUGGUUGAGUCAACAUUGGAGCCUCUGUCAACAUCUUUUUCAACUGAUCGAAACUCCGCUGACAUUUAUCUGACCAUAUAAAUUCAACAUUCUUUUGUAGCAAUCGAGUCAACUGUAAGGUAAUCAUUGAGAAAUCUUUGAUAAAUCGACAAUAAUAACAUACCAAUCGUAGAAAACUCCACACUUCAAUAACAUUCUUCGGAACUUUCCAAUUUACCAUUGCCGCUACCUUACUUGGAUCCACUCUUAUUCCAUGAGCUGAUACAAUAUGACCCAAAAAUGCAACUUCAUGGAGCCAAAAUUCUCAUUUGCUGAAUUUGGCAUACAAUUGUUUCUCUCGCAAAGUCUGUAAUACAAUCCUUAGAUGUUGUGCAUGUUCGGACUCUGUCUUUGAAUAAAUCAAUAUAUCGUCAAUGAACAACCACAAAUCUAUCCAAUUAUGACUGAAAAAUUCUAUUCAUCAAAUCCAUAAAAGCAGCAAGGGCAUUGGUUAAACCAAAUGGCAUCACCAAAAAUUCAUAAUGACCAUAUCGAGUUUGGAAGGCAGUUUUCGGCACAUCACACUCUUUAACUUUCAACUGAUAAUACCCAGAUUGAAGAUCUAUCUUGGAAAAUAUUGCAGCACCUUUCAACUGAUCAAACAAAUCAUCAAUAUGAGGCAAAGGAUAUUUAUUCUUUACUGUUACCUUAUUCAACUGCCUGUAAUCUAUACACAGUCUUAGAGAACCGUCCUUUUUUUUCACAAACAAGACAGGUGCACCCCAGGGCGACAUACUCGGUCUGAUGAAUCAUUUCUCUAAUAACUCCUGUAACUGCGCCUUCAACUCUUUUAACUCGGCUGGAGCCAUUCUAUACGGUGUCAUUGAGAUAGGAGUUGUUCCGGCGAUCACAUCAAUUACAAAUUCAACUUCUUUAUCAGGUGGUAGACCGGGUAACUCUUCAGGGAACACAUUAGGGAAUUCAUUCACUACUGGCACUUGUUUGAGCUUCAAAUCAGAACCCUGAGUAUCCAUGAUAUAGGCCAAGAAUGCUUCGUUGCCUUUGCGUAAUAACCUCUGAGCAGGGAGAGCUGAAAUAAUUCUGACUGUAUCACCCAUAUUUUCAGACCCAACUGAGAUUAUAUCUCCCGUUUGACAUUUCAAAUUGAUCUGUUUAUCACGACAAUUCACUACCGCAUCAUGUCUCACUAACCAGACCGUCCCAAGAAUAAUGUCAAAUUCUCGAAAAGGUAACAACAUCAAAUCAGCGGGGAAUUCAUAGCCUUUCACUUUUAAUGGACAAUUACGACAUAUCAAAUUAACCAUCACACUUUGACCUAAUGGGUUUGUGACUUGUAUAUCAAAUUCAGUGGACUUAACAGAUAAUUUCUUUUCAGAUGCUAACAUAGUGCAAAUAUAUGAAUGAGUAGAUCCAGGGUCUAUCAAUGCAUAAACAAUAACAUCAUAAAGAUAGAAAGUACCAACAAUUACAUCAGGAGCCGUAGCCUCUUCCCUUGCUCGAAUGGCAUAGGUACGUGCUGGUGCUCUAUUCUUUGAUCGACCAACUGAUUCCCUCGUACCCGAACGGGUAGUCCCUGUAGCACUGCUCUGGCCCGAAUGUCUACUUCUUUGGGGAAUGGUUCUCUGUAUCUCUUUCUGUUCCACUUCAUCUUUUUACAGUCGGGGACAAUCUCGAAUAAGAUGAUUAGUAGCCCCACAUUUUUAACAAGCCCCCAUCUUGGUCCUGCAUUCUCCGAAAUGAUAUCUUCCACAAUAUUGACACUUAGGCCGGGGAGCAUUCUGAACACCGCUCACACUUGCUGCAGGUCUAUCGAAUACCCUGAAAUCAGAUUGUCUUGGUCUAUCUCUACCCGAUCUUCCCAACAUUAAUGUAGUUCGACUAAUUUCUUCUCUAGAUUUCUUCACUGGCAAAUCUAAAAAUGACUUAGAAGCACCUCUUUUGAAUGGCUCUUUACUUUUUCGAUCCCGCUGCAUUUUUCUAUUGUAUACUUCUUCGAGCUUUUGAGCACGGUCUGACAGAACAACGAACUCUCGUAUUUCAUUACCCCCAAUCAUCAUUCUAAUUUCAUCAUUUAACCCUUCUUCAAACCUGAUACACAUUUCUUCUUUAGUAGGUACAAUGUCUCGGGCAUAUUUGCUGAGGUAAACAAAUUCACUUUCGUAUUCAGCCACUGAUUUAUUUCCCUGGCGUAGGUCGAGAAAUUCCCUUUUAUUUUUAUCCAAAUACCGUCUGCCCACAUAUUUCUUCUUAAAUUCAUUUUGGAAAAAUUCCCAAUAAAUUUUCUCUGCUGGAACCACAGCCUCAAUCGUCUCCCACCAACUAUAAGCUUGCUUCUUUCAAUAGGGACACAGCACAUCUCAAAUAAUCAUCUGGUGAGCAAGCCAUUUCUUUAAAAAUUCUUAUUAAACUCUGUAACCAAUAUUCAGCUUUGACGGGAUCUUCAUCAGUCCUUCCUGAAAUUCUUCGGCUCCAAGUUUUUUAAGCUUUUCCAAUAGAGAACGCUUACUAGAUUCAGUCGUUGUAGGAGGUGGAGGAGUAACCGGGGGUACCAUCGAUGGAGCAGUAGGGGGAGGAGGUGGUUCAGCCUGAUUUCUUUCCUGCCUCAUUUCAAUAUACCACUGAUUCAUAAUCUCAUAAAUCAUAUUCUUUAAUUCUUGCUCUUGCAUUUGGGAGAUCGGAACAUCACUGCUUGUUCUUUGUUCAGAAUUAUGUAUUCUACUAUUAACUUCUUCUUACUUAGUUCGUUCAGGUAUAUCUGACAUCUUUAUAACUGGAGAAUAUAUAUGAAAAUAACAAAGAUUAGAUCGGAUCAUACGCAUCACACUAUCACAGAUUUAUAUGGCAUGUAUUUCUAAACACUUUACACUUCACACAUAUUCCGAGAACCGGCUAAACCGGGAUCUGAUACCAAUAAAAUAUAACACCCUUUACCCAAGACCGUUGCCCGAGUCGAGCAUGAGGCGUUACUUGACUUAACUUAAAAGUUCAGGGCAUAAAAAUUUACUUUCAAAAUUAAUUUCACCAUUCACAAUAAAGCUGUCCACCUGCGCAGGAGUCACUAAAUCAAUUAUAACUCAAGCUACGAAACUCAAAAUUUAGAUCCGUAAAUUUUCCCUAAAACUAGACUCAUAUAAAUAUUCACCAUAAAUUUUUAAGAAUUUUUGGUUUAUCCAAUUAGUAUAGUUUAUUAGUUUAAGUCUCCCUUGUUUCACUAAUAGACUACCCUGACCUCUCGUCACUAAAAUUCAAUUAUCUCCUUAUACAGACUUGACAUGGUGCUUCCAAUUAUUUUUACUUAAAAUAUACUCAUUAAGGAAUUUAAAAAUAUAAUUUAUAACUCAUAAUUACUUUUUUACAAUUUUUAUUGAAUUUCUAAAGUCAGAACAGAGGACUUCAAAAUCAUUCUGACCCUGUCUCACUAAAAUUCAAAUAUCUAAAAGUAUAUAACUCUUUUGCUUACUCUAUUGCUUUCAUGUGAAAGUAUACUCAUUCAGAUUUAAUUUCAUAUCUCACUUAACUUAUAAUUCUAUUUCCACUAUUUUUGGUGAUUUUUCACAGUUACAUCAAUGCUGCUGUCCAAAAACUGGUCCAUUGAAAUUUUUUAAAAAAAUUCAAUAUAACCCCUUUAUAAUUAUCUAACCUUCCCUGCAAAUUUCAAAUCACAACCAAUUUCAGUAUUUCACCUACUUCACUUAAAUACUAAUGAAGUUCAACCAAUCAACCAUUUCAAACUAAAAACAUGUAUAGUUCAAUGUCUAACACAACCAUCACAUUCAAAUUUACUUUGCAUACUUAGUCAUUCAUUCUAUUACUUUUUACUUCAAUUCCCUAUACAUGCCAUAUAAAUCCAAAAAGUUGUUUAACAAAAUCUACCAGAGUAAAUCUAGAUAGUGUGAUUCUUGGUGUAGAUCCGAUCCUCUGAAUGUAUAAAUACGUCAAUCUACAAGAAUCAAUAAACACACAAUUAAGCUUAUAGAAAGCUUAGUAAGUUCAUAAGCACCAAACAUAAAUCUUACCAAACAUUUAUACACUUAUACAUUAUACACCAUUACUAAGUUUACCUGUCAACCACAAUCUUUGGUGAGUUCCUUGUUAUAAACUCACUACUACUUAUUCUUUUACCAUAAUUCCUUUGGGCCCAUUUGUCACUUACCAUCCUUGAUCAAAAUUAAGGAACGGUUACGGAAAAUUGAGUACUUCACUUUCACUUUGCCAUAGUAUAACUAUGGUCUUACGUAUGAUCACUUAUCACUUGUCCUUGAUAAGAUAAGUGUAGCUAGGCUACCACUUAUCACUUUGUCACUUGAUCAGAUAAGUGUAGCUAAAGCUACCACUUAUCACUUUAUCACCACUUAUCACUUGUUCCUGAUCAGAUAAGUGUAGCUAAAACUACCACUUAUCACUUUGUCACCACUUAUCACUUGUUCCUGAUCAGAUAAGUGUAGCUAAAGCUACCACUUAUCACUUUGUCACUUGAUCAGAUAAGUGUAGCUAAGCUAUCACUUAUCACUUUGUCACUUGAUCAGAAGUACUCUAAUCCGGUGUUCCGCUCAAUUUGAUCAUUUAUUCAGUUUUCACAUUUUUAUUUUAUUCUCAUUUCAUCAAUAAAUAUAUAUAUUUCAUCAUACAUUAUAUAAUUCAUGAAAUUAACAUUUAAUCAUUAAAUUUCAGCCAUAUGAACUUACCUGGGUCGAUUUAUUGAAUUUGUAAAAGUUCAGGGACUAAUCAGCUACUUUUUCUUUUCCUCGACUUGUUUCGGGUUCUCAAUAUGAUUCAAAUAUAUGAAAAACCAGCUUGGAUGGACUCUUCAAUGGCGUUUUUUGCUGAGAAAUAUGAUGAAUUGCCUAGAAACUCUUUUAGUUAAGAUUUUUAUUUGUUAACUUUUACAAAAUUUCCAAUUUUGCCCUUAUUACAUCACUUUUUCAGAUUUUUCUUCUCUUAUGCCGUCUCAACUAUUCCAUAUUAGCAUAUUUAUGCCUUAAGUCCCUCCUUAUUUGCCACUUAAGCUGUUUAAUCACUUUUAACAAAUUUUACAUUAUUUUCAGUUUAGUCCUUUUUAAUUAAUUAACCACCCAAACGUUAGAAUUUUCUAACGAAACUUUAAUAUCAAUUCAAUGGCACUCUAUAAAUGUUUCUAAAAAUAUUUAUGGCUUGAUUGAUGAGUUUGAGGUUUCGAUACCUCAUUUUUUAUUCUAAUUAUUUUAAUAUUUAUUCUUAGUACACUAUUCACUAUUUCAAAAAUUUUCCUAACUUCGCAUUUAACUUAUACUCACUAAAUUAAUAAUAUUUUCUACUCAUUUGUCAGAUUUAGUGAUCUAGAAUUACCAUUCCGACACCACUGAAAAUUCAGGCCAUUACAUUAUGUUUAUUGACUCAUUUUUUCUGUUGACUGAAUUUCAGGUAACUCAUCGACUUAGGCGGGUCGGCAUGGCGAGAGCUCGGUCAUCCUUAUUUAGUAAUUUUCUGUUUAAAUUAAACUUAUGCUAUAGUUGUUUUAUCUUGAAUUACAGAUUUCAAAUUUAUAUUUCUACACUAGUUCAACUAUUUAAACAUUUUCUGACAAUUAAACUUUAAUUAGUUAAAAGUGAGAAUUUCUUAAAUGAUUUGUUGUAGCUUUCCAAGCUUGGUCCUAACAUCUAGGUCGGGUUUGGGGUGUUACAACCCAAAACCCCCAAACUUUCCCCUCAAAACUUUUACUCCCCCACCCUUUCUCUUUCUCGCUCACCCUCCCAAACCCUUCUACUUUUCCCCCAAAACUUUUACUUCCCACUUUUACCCCCAAAUCAAAAAUCAAAAUCCUCCCAAAAAAAUCCUUAAACCUAAAUAGUAAUAAUUUUAUUUAUGGCUACUAUUUAUAUUAUAAAUUAAAUUUCACAUUUUCUAUUAUUUAUAUUAUUAAAUUGUUUAAUCAUUUUGAAUCUUUAUCAAUUUCUGUUAAAACUGUAUCAUUGAUGAUGUCAUACAUUAUUUGUGUUAAAAAUUUCUAUUGGUAUCAAUUUCACAUUUUAUCUUUAAAAUAAAUUUUAUUAAAAAAAUUACUUUUUUACAUUUAAUAUAUUUUUUAAUUUCAAAAUAUAUGGUGACAAGAAUUAGAAGAUAAUUGAAGCAACUAAGCAAGUAAAAAAGCUAACAUGUAUAUAAAAGAUUAAAUAAAUUAUGAAGGGAUGAAAGUUAAUAACACAUUUGAUUACGGUGGACAAAUUUGAUAAUGAUGGGUGACAGUGGCUACAAGGAUCCAAAGUAAUUUUUUCAAUUAACUGGAAACAAAUAUAUUCGAUUCGAUUCGAUAAAAUUUGAAAUCAUUUUAGGAUGAUAAAAUAAGACUCGUCAACUCGAUUAACUCGAAGUUUUUUCAUUUGAUUCGAUUAGACGCUCACCCCUACAAAGUAUGACCGAUUGGUCUGAUUCUGAAAAAAAUUGGUUUUGAUCAAUGAAAGAACUUUUACGAUGGCGACAGGUCUAACAAACAGGUGAUAUUUUGAAAAGAAAAUUAAUCUCCAUAGUCUCAACCUUAGGAGGGUGAAUUUUGAGCAUUGCAUUUGUUGUCAUUGUUAGACAUUAUAAAGGAAGAAAAAAGAAAGAAAAAAGUUAAAAUGAGGGAAAUUAUUGAAAAAAAGAGAGAAGAGAAUAAUUAAUUUUUUUAAAAUUUUACAUGUCAAUCUAUUAUUGAUUAGAUUUUUUUAAUGAGUGUAACAUUUUGGUGUUAAAUGGAUAAUAAAAAAAUAUUUUAAGUAUCAUUUAUGAUAAAAAAUAUUUAGGUAUCAAUUUGAAAAAAAUAUGUAGCUUAGAUACUAAUUGAUGGGUUAAUUUUUUUAGCUUAAUAAUUUGAUUAAACCGAAAUACCAACUGAAAAAAAGUUUACUCGCCGCUUAUGAAAAAAAAUAAGUAUGAAUUUGUAAGUUAAAUCUCCCUAAAAGAAAAAAUAUAUCACAUUCAAUACGGGGUGAAUGAAGCAAUGAAUGCAAUGGGGUAUUACAACCAGCCACAUGUCAUUCAAUUCAUGUUAUAUCUACCUUGUUGGCCCCACAGGCGGUCUUUUCCAUUAUUUUCGAAGUGAACGACAUGAGUCGGACCUAUAUCGGCCCCAACAAACAACCUCAACCACUUGUUUUGUUAGGUUGUUGACUAAUUUGAAUAUGUCGGCUCAAAGCUUUUUGAAAAUUAAAUUAUUUUUUAUAUUAAUAUCAUAUAGGUAUAAAAAUUUAACGUUUUGUAAAAAAAAUAAAUUUAGUGUUAAAUUUAAAUAAUUAUAAAAAAUUAUACAAAAUACAAAGACAACUUAGAGUCAAUAAAAAAAAUAUGGAAAAUCAAUUCAUACAUUAAAUGGCAUAAAAAUAUUAUGAACACUAUACAAAUAUAUGAAUGUUUUUAUAUCUAUUUAAAAUAAGUUAUUAACGCUUAAACUUCAACCAAUUAAAUAUUAAUUUAACUAUAAACUAUAAAAAAUUAAAAUUUCAUUUGCCCUAAACAAUUAUUCUAAUUUCGCCCCUGUAUAAAAUAGUUCUAAUAUUAAAAAAAAAGUUAUACGAAUAUGGAGUGUUAAAAAAAAAGGCUUUCAACUUUUAAUAUUCCAAACAAAUAAAAGAAAUAAUAAUAACAGUUUACAAGUGCAAUAAAAGUAAUACAUAUUUGAUGAAUUAAAAAUAGAAUAAAUAUAACUAACUAUAACAGAAAUAUAUUUAGAUUUAAACCAAAUUUUUUUGAAGAUGAAAUUUGAACUCACAAAUAAUAUUUAUAAAUGAUGAGCCUAAUGAUGAUAUGUUUUAGAACAUGUAUAUUUUAAUUUCAUUUGAUAUUUAAAUUAAUGAAUGAAAUGAGUAUAUUAGCAUAAAUAUAUUGAAUUUCUAGAUUUAUUAAAAAUCCAACUAAAUAGAGUAGAUCCAUAAAUUUAAAAAAUGAUUAUGGAUUUUGAAAUAUAAAUCUAAAAUUUAAAAUCUGAAACCCUCCUAAAUGUUUUCCAAAGUAAGGCGGGGAUAAAUGGUAUAGGGAAGACGGUGGGUAGAUAGAUGUACGGUUUAUUUAUAACUUCGUUUUUAUUAGUCGGCUUACAGUUUCAUAAAAAGCAUCCGUGCAAGGCAUGUUCAAAUGCUGCACUAGCAUACCACUACUAUAAAAAAAACACAUACAAGAGCACCACAAAUUUAUCCCAAAAUACAUUAAAUAAAUGACUCCUAAGGGUGCCAGAUUUAACUAGUGUGUCUGGGAUUGUAUUAGCCUCUCUGAGGCCAUGUGAAAAAAUUUAAUGUUAUUGUUAUAUUUCCAUCUCGAUACGUUGCAAGACAUGAAGCAAUCUGUAAACAACUCUCUUUUGGAAGCAGUUUGCAUACGACUCUUCGCUAAGAACCAUUUGUUGUGAUCUUUCGCUUAGGAUUGCUCACAAAUGACCCCCAUGCACCCUAUCUCUCUCCCUCCUUAACUCAUCAUCUUGAACUCUCAUCCUAUCAUAGGUGAAUCGAGACUCUUCUCCUCCACCCUUUCCUCGUUGGUUACUUGUAGCAAAAAAAAUUAAUUUCACCGAAAAUGUUGGAGAGAUCCCAUGGUCUAAGUGUGUUGUUAGAGCAAAGCUCGAUGGCAAAUUUGGAGUCAAAUUUUAGAAUAAACCCUUUAAAAUCCAUUACACCGUAAAGGAAAAUUUUUACAAUUACAUUAACAAUAAAUAUUCAAAAUUUACUCAUCUAUCUAUACUUAUAUUAAGCCUUAUUUGAGUUGGAGUCAAGAGUCAACUAGGUACUAACUCAGUUGAGAAUUUACUAAAUAAUUUUAAUAUAAAGUAAAAAAAAUAUUAAUACGAGGGUGUUUUUAUCUUUUCAUAUUUUUAAAUAAAAAAAUACUAUAAUAAGAUUUAAACUUAAGUUUAAAAUUUCAAUCAAAACAUCACUUAAAUUUAAAAUAACAUUUUUAUAUAAAAUGUGUUUAGAUUCUAAGAUAAUGAAAUUUAUGAUGAGGUAUUCAAAAUGUGUUUGAAUAUGCUAAUGAGAUAUUCAAAUUGGUAUGCACAUUCCUAAUCAGGGAGCAUUAAUGAUAAUUUAGUAAAAUAAAUUAUCUCAUUAGCAUAUAGUUUAUUAUAAAAUUAUUGUGUAAAAUAAACAAUUCACAAACUUAAGAAUUUAUAACACAAAAAUUAUACAUCAAUGUUGUUAGAAUUGUAUUAUAUCCAUCGGUUGAAUUUAAAUUUAAAAAUUUAAUCAGCGAUAAUAAUUAAAAUCGUUUCAAACUAGUAAAAUAUUGAAAAUUAAGAACUAAUAAAAUAGAUUCUAAUUAUUUUUAUUUAAAAAAUGUUACCUUCUUAUUCAGGUUACAUUAAGACAAACCCAUCUUAAUUGUAAGUAUCAUAUUGUGAAUGGUAAACUUCUUACACAACAUCCACCAUUUGUCCAAAUAUGUUAAAUUAGGUGCAACAUAGAAAUUUUAUUGUAAGGAGUGAAUCUCAUUGUUUUUAUUUUCAUCAAACAUACGUCUAACUUUAUUAUUACGGGAUUAGAACUUAAAUUUGAUAAAUUGUGGUGAUUUCUUUUCGUUAAAUUUACCUAAAUCAACCUAACACUCGAAAAGUGAGAAUUCUCCUAAAAAUUCUUUAUGUUAGCAAAAAAUAUAGUGGAAGUAACUUGAAACGAAAGAGCAAUGAGAGAAUUGAAAAGACACAAGAAAAUAAUGCAUACAAGGUGUUUGAGUAAAUGCUCUCAAUAAAUUCUUUAACUCAAGAAGGAAUGAAGUACAACCAGUAUCUAGCCCCCCUAAAAUAGAAAAUUUUCCAUUUAUAUACCUUUAUAAUUUAUAAAAUUUAAAAUUUUACUUUCCCAUAAAAUGAUAAAAAAUUGAUUUAUUUCUUUAAAAAUUAUAAAGAUGACUAUUAAAAUAGUAAAAUUGUAUUUUUAUUAUUGUAAAAAUAUACAAUUUAAUUCUGUCUCCCAAAUUUUUUUUUUGGUUUCAUCCCUAAGUACAAUGAUCAUUGUAGCAGGAUACACAGGCAUUGUAGCAGGAUACAUAGGCAUUCUAGCACAGAAUGCAAAUAUGUUGCAAAUUAACUUCGAGUCAUGGCAUAAAGUGCCCGAGAGUAACAAGAACCAAGCUCUCGAUAACAUUAAGGUAACAAAAUGUGUAUAUCAUUUAUAAUACUUGAGUUUAAGUUUCGUUUACAUUUACUUUCUGAAGUUGUGUUUUUUGUAGGGGAGAUUUGCUCUAGAGGUCUCCGAUGCUUAUGUAAAGAAGGCAUUGGGAAAAAGAUGGAGAGACCAUAAGAGCACUUUAAAGAAAGACUAUUUUAAGACAAAAACAACACUCGACGAGAGAUUACAAAAUGUCACGCCGGGAAUGCUGAGGUACCAGUGGGAAGAAGUCGUUAGAUUUUGGACUUCGAAGAAAGGAGAGGUAUGUGUUACUACAAAAAUCUUGUAAUUAUUUUGGUUUAUAGUAUUUACUAAUUAACGUACUAAUAAUUUCAUAACGUAGGAUCGUGAACGAGUUGGAACAAGUAGUAGGCAGAAACAAAAAUUCACGCACACAGCUGGGUCGAGAAGUUUUGCGUGUGUAGCUCAGGCCGAGGUAUUUUGAAUUUUUUAAUACUGGCAGAUAUUUAUUACUUUCUAUCAAAUAAUAUUUUUACUAUUGUAUUGUAGGAAGUGUUGUCGGGUCAAAAAGUUGGACGCCUUCAACUUUUUGACAUUACACAUAGGAAGAAAGAUGGAAACCCUAUGACUCCUGAAGCUGCAGAAAUUAUGGUACGUUUGCUUAAUACAAUUUGACUUGUUUUAAUUAUUUAUACUGUUUAUUUUCUAAUGGUUUUUAUUACAUUUCUUAUAAUGCAAAUAUUGUUAAGUUAUGUUGCAUUUGUUUUGUUAAUAUAUGUUGCGUUCUUAACUAUGUGAUUUAUUUUUUAGGAAAAACUGAAGGAUAAAAAGGCGAAGUACGAAGCGAUUGCUUCCAGUGAUAGUUCUGUUCAUAUUUACGACAUUGAUAAUCGGAUUAUCAUUGAAGUUUUGGGUCCUGAAAGGUAUGAUCGGGUUCGAUUUCAAGGAUCUUUUGUUAACCCAUCCCAAUAUUUUGGAUCCAGCUCGCAACAAUACAUGCAUUCGGGGAGUCAGGCUCAAGCUGAAGUUAGAGGUUAAGAGACCAGAUAGCUUAGAUGCAAGCGGCAACGAGUGAGCAAAUUACACAACUUAAAGCGGAGGCAACAUCGAGAGAAGCCAAGGUUCAAAAAAGAUAUGAAGAACUCCAGCUACAACUUAAAGCAGAUGCGGCAGCGAGAGAAGCAGAGGCAGCAGCGAGAGAAGCUGAGGUUCAACGAAAGUAUGAGCAACUGCAGUAGCAGCUUAAAGAAGAUGCGGCAACGAGAGAAGCAGCGGCUGCAGCGAGGGAAGUAGAGGCUGCAGCGAGGGAAUCAGAACAGCAUAAAAAGUUCGAUGAACUCCAGCAGCAGCUUCAGAAUAUGAUGAAGAUGUUUCAGCAGUCGCAACCGCCGUCAUCUUAGACUAUCGUUUAAAUAUACUUCAAUUUUGACUUUGGUAUUAUUAUUUUAACUUUUACAAUUUCUGUCAGAAUAAUACGAAUUUUAUUUUAUUUAUUGACAUUUAUUUUAAAUAUUAUAUAGAUUUGGUUAGAUUUGGUUGGUUGGAUUUGGUUUCUUCUGAUUUGUUUUUAUAGGAGGGGGGCUGAAAAUUUUUUUUUCAAAUCUGCCAAAAUUAGCGGCGUUUUUUUGGAUAAGCGCCGCUAAAGACCAUCGUCUAUAGUGGCGUUUUUUGGCUAAGCGCCGCUAAAGACCAUGGUCUAUAGUGGCGUUUUUCGGCUAAGCACCGCUAAAGACCAUGGUCUAUAGUGGCGUUUUUUGUCUAAGCGCCGCUAAAGACCAUGGUGUAUAGUGGCAUUUUAUGGCUAAGCGCCGCUAAAGACCAUGGUGUAUAGUGGCGUUUUUUGGCUAAGCGCCGCUAAAGACCAUGGUCUAUAGUGGCGUUUUUUGUCUAAGCCCCGCUGAAAACCAUGGUCUAUAGUGGCGUUUUUUGGCUAAGCGUCGCUAAAGACCAUGGUCUAUAGUGGCGUUUUGUGGCUAAGCGCCGCUAAAGACCAUGAUCUAUAGUGGCAUUUUUCGGCUAAGCGCCGCUAAAGACCAUGGUCUAUAGUGGCGUUUUUUAGGCUAAGCGCUGCUAAAGACCAUGGUCUAUAGCGGCGUUGCAAAGAAAACGCCGCGAAAGGUCUUGAUCUUUAGCGGCGUUUAUUAUAAAAAGCGCCGCUAAAGUUACCGACACUGUCAUUAGCGGCGAUCUUUGCGGCGCUUCGUAAAGCGCCGCUAAAAGUAUUUGCGGCGCUAAAAAACGCCGCUAUAGACCUAAAAAAGCGCCGCUAAAACCCUGUUUUGGUGUAGUGUGAGAUGAUUACAAAUGAAGGGGGAGAUCUCUAUUUAUAGUUGAGCUCCCCUAGAUCCAAUAGUAUAGAUUGAAUUACAUCAACGAUUGAGAUUAGUACUUAUCUACAAGAUGAGUCUUAAGGGUUUUAAACUCUAUACAUCUUUAUCCCUUAGGAUUUACAUUAAUUACUCUGGUAACUCUAGUUUUACUGGAGAGUUUCACUGAACCACCAAAGGUUUAAGUAGAUGAGCUUCUCCAUAUGUUCCACGAGUUGGACAAGUUCAAGCGGAUCAAAUGAGCCCAAUUUAAUUAGUUAAUCUCAAUAAAACGUUCUAUGCGCAAUGAUCAUGAACUUUGAUCUACAUCUCAAAAUGAUCAGAUGAAUAAUCUCUCUUAAUUAUAUUUUUAUAAAACUUGAUAUUUUCAUUUAAAAAGAAACACAAUCACAUAUAAUAAUGUCUCCAAAAGAGUCGUCCACUUCAAAGAUUUAAAGUAAUGUAAGAAUGAACCCAACAUUUUUCAAUUAAAAAUAUGUCGAUAGAUAUAGCAAGUUGUAUAACCUUUCAAUUACAAAACAGAUUUCAAUGGGGAUUGCAUCCGGUACAUGCAACUAAAGAACAGAACCGGUGCAUAAAUUGAUUUAAUUAAACUUUGGGUUGAGUAAUCAUGAUUUUCAUUAUUAUUAGACUACGUGAAUGUUGAUAUAAAAUGCUUGAGAGAAGGGUAUAGAAGAAACACAAAAUAAUGAGUGAUAUUAAUUUGUAGAUAAAGAUAAUAUUACAUAGUCGCAAAAAGCGACCUAGUACACAACGCACAACUCUAAAUUAGGAUAACUCCUCUGCUAUCCCUAUGGAUGGAUUUUAACAUCCAUAUUUAUUCUGUAGCUAUCGUUAUUUUGGCUUCCACUAGCUGGUGAACUUUCCAUGCCAAAACUUCACUUAACCCUGC